AUUGAACGCUGGCGGCAGGCUUAACACAUGCAAGUCGAACGAGUGGCGGACGGGUGAGUAAUGCUUGGGAAUCUGGCUUAUGGAGGGGGAUAACGACGGGAAACUGUCGCUAAUACCGCGUACCAUAGGAGGAGCCCAAGUGGGAUUAGGUAGUUGGGGGGGUAAUGGCCUACCAAGCCGACGAACUCUAGCUGGUAUUAGAGGCUGACCGGCCACACGUGGAUGUAGACAGGGCCCGGACGCCUACGGGAGGCCGCAGUGGGGAAUUUUGGACAAUGGGCGCAAGCCUGAUCCAGCCAUGCCGCGUGUCUGAAGAAGGCCUUCGGGUUGUAAAGGACUUUUGUCAGGGAAGCGGUACCUGAAGAAUAAGCACCGGCUAACUACGUGCCAGCCGCCGCGGUAAUAC
rnacentral:rRNA from 1 species